UUCGGACACCAGGUGAGGGGUCGAAGAGGAUUCAGAACUCAACACACGGAGCGGUGACGUCGGUAAGUUCUUCAGGAACAGUGACGUCGGUAGUAAGUUCGCCAGGAACGGCUACGACGUCGGUAAGUUCUCCAGGUAUGCUGAUUACUGGGAUUAAUCCGCAGCCCUUCGCUCAGACAUGGUAAACGGGUAUCGGUAAUGCAGGCGUUACCGCGACACAACCAUUGGAAUAAGCAAAUCAAGGCAGAAGUUAGAAGAGCCCGUGACUCCUACUCCUAAAGGAAGGGUAACAGCAAAAUUUGUAUCCUGUCUACCACAGCUAAACUACACAGAGGACCAGAGGAGCCUGAAGGAGCAAGAGAGGAGGAGAAGCACCCUCUCUCCUUCCCCUAAGCCUGGACCCACGGGCUCAUUUAGAUGCGGCAUCAGCCUUCAGAGUCAUGAUUUCCAUAGCGAUGGUGGCCACGCACAUGCUCCAUUUAUGCUCCUGUGCCUCACCUCAGCCAGCACACGCACUCUGUGAUGCACCAGCUCCACAGACAAGAGCCCGGCUUCCCACAGGCAGCAAGAACUCAGUGCCUGGAUGUGAGCAAGUCAUUGCUGUAUGCAAAGGGCCUGGUCUGCAGCAGCUUGCUCAUAGCAGCUGCUUCCUGGAACCCAGGCAAGCUUUGGAACUGUGUGUCCUCUCUUGGCCCUGACAAGAAGACAGAAAGGGGAUUAAAUGACCAACAUGGCUUAUCUCCCUUAAAGAUACGGAGGGCUGCUAGGAACCUCAGAAAUGCUGGAAACCUCACAGGGUAUCUCUCUUUGCAGCAUACUUUUAACACUUAGAGAAAUACAAAAGGGAGGAAUUCGCCCAUUCACUCAAGAGAAAAGUAUCAAGUUUUGUUUUGCCACAUUUUCUCCUUCUCAGUCACAGGUGCGCGCGCGCGCGCGCGCGCACACACACACACACACACACACACACACACACACAAACACACACACACACGGUGGGGGGAAAACAGAGAGACAGACAGACAGAGGAGAGAGAGACAGAGAGAGCUUGAAAUAAAGCAAUUCAAUCCAACCAGACUUGGAUUCAGCUCCCAUCGCCCCACUUCCUCAAGUGCCCCACCCCUUAACAAGUGCAUGAACUUAAAUAGACUUGAACCUUUGACCAAUCCUCUGUGCUCCAGUUUUGACAUUUAUGGGCAGAAUAACAAUAGUACCGAUUGCAUGUAUUAUUUCAGAAUAAAAUAAUGCAAAAUAAUGCUGGUCACAACAGCAGCUGUCCUGUAGGCACUCAGUGAACAGCAGCUGAACUCCUGCCGUUGACUCUUGAAUUUGGCAGGUCUUUAUUAAGAGCCAGGCAGCAGGGAAUAGGCAGAGCCAGAUGUGGACAUGUCCACUACUGAGUUCUGUGUGCUAAAGACUCUAUCUCGUGGGACCAGCAGCAGAGGCCUGAAUGGGCCUGGACCAUGAAGACAGGGAGGGAGGAGCAGAUAGAUGGGAUCUGGCUGAUGGUGAGAACUUGCAGAAAGACGAGUUGGUACUCUCCGCCUCUUUAACUGAGCAUCACAGUCCAAGCAUCCCUGAUGCUUGCAACUGCCUAAUUUUCUCAUCACCUCUAAUGAUGGCAUGACAUCACCCGGCUUCCAGGUGUUGCGUUCUCCUUCACCCUUCCCUCUCAUUUGAUUUCUCAGUUGUCAAUUUGGAGCUAUUACAGGCAUCGCUACAAUAAACACGCACCUGACAGUU